rnacentral:rRNA from 1 species
UGGGGAAUAUUGCACAAUGGGCGCAAGCCUGAUGCAGCCAUGCCGCGUGUGUGAAGAAGGCCUUCGGGUUGUAAAGCACUUUCAGCGAGGAGGAAGGUGGUGAACUUAAUACGUUCAUCAAUUGACGUUACUCGCAGAAGAAGCACCGGCUAACUCCGUGCCAGCAGCCGCGGUAAUACGGAGGGUGCAAGCGUUAAUCGGAAUUACUGGGCGUAAAGCGCACGCAGGCGGUUUGUUAAGUCAGAUGUGAAAUCCCCGGGCUCAACCUGGGAACUGCAUUUGAAACUGGCAAGCUAGAGUCUCGUAGAGGGGGGUAGAAUUCCAGGUGUAGCGGUGAAGUGCGUAGAGAUCUGGAGGAAUACCGGUGGCGAAGGCGGCCCCUGNCAGACGAGCUGACGCUCAGGUGCGAAAGCGUGGGGAGCAAANCAGGAUUAGAUACCCUGGUAGUCCACGCUGUAACGAUGUCGAUUUGGAGGUUGUGCCCUUGAGGCGUGGCUUCGGAGCUAACGCGUUAAAUCGACCGCCUGGGGAGUACGGCCGCAAGGUUAAAAACUUAAAUGAAUUGACGGGGUCAUAGCUGUUUCC